rnacentral:lncRNA from 1 species
AAGCAAAUUAAUGAAAUGUUUUAGCAUGAUUCACGCAUCAUGAAUGCCAUGAGAUAUAUCAGGUUGAUUGCAUUAGAAUUCACGAAUAUGUUGCAUUGCAUACUUUGUUGUUGAUGUGGAUGAAUGUUGAAUGAUCCAUUAGCCCUUUUAUGUCAUGAUAGCCUAUGUGAGUCCAGGUGUGCCUACUACGGCUCUACGCCCCUGGCACUAUGACUGAUUAUGGAAGUCCGGGUGUGCCUGCUACGGCUCUACGCCCCCGGCAUGUAUAAGUAAGAAAGAUAGGGGCUAAAUGGUGACAAGUUCAUCCUUGUUGUGAAAUGUUUGUGUUAUGGCGUAUACAUGAAAGCAUGAUUUAAAUUGAUGUUUUAUUAUUCUGCUCACUGGGCUCUAGUAGCUCACCCCACUCCCUUUAUCCCCAGAGUUGCAGGUACAGGAUAGAUCGGGAAGUCGGCUAGAGUGAAGUUAAGUCAUGUAUGUUGUAAUAGAUGGUAG